UGCGGUGACAUUACGUGCCGGGAAACACCCGUUCCCAUUCCGAACACGGCAGUUAAGUCGGCACGGCCGAGGGUAGUCGCAAGGCGAGAUUAGGUGAUUGCCGCGA
rnacentral:rRNA from 1 species